AAAGAUAAGAUAAACUCUUUUAAUUAUAAUCAAUUAUAUUUGAAUUUAAAAUCUAUUUUUAUAAGUUUAAAAUAAAUUACCUUAGGGAUAACAGCGUAAUUUUUUUUUAGAGUUCAUAUUAAAAGAAAAGUUUGCGACCUCGAUGUUGGAUUAAAAUUUAUUUUAGGUGUAGAAGCUUGAAUAUUAAGUCUGUUCGACUUUUAAAAUUUUACAUGAUCUGAGUUUAAAUCGGCGUGAGCCAGGUUGGUUUCUAUCUUUAAAUUUUUAAUAUAUUUUAGUACGAGAGGACCGAAUAUAUAAUAUAUUAUUUUAUUUUGAAUAUUAUU
rnacentral:rRNA from 1 species